rnacentral:rRNA from 1 species
AAUAUUUUGCUCCGCCCACGACCUCGGACCACCGUCUCUCUCUCUCUCUCUCUCUCUCUCCGCCGGGAGGGAGGCGUCUGGUGUCAGGUGUUCAAGAAGAGACGAAAACAGACCGAGACCAGCGCAGACGAGAAGACCGAAAGCCUAGGGCCUCUCUGAAGACGACCUUUCCUCUCACUUUAUCUUUUACCCACAGCCCUUACCUAGUCGUCUGCACUUGGUCGUCUGCCGCGCGUUACUUUAUGCUCUACUCUGGCGCGGCGAAGAAGGCCAGUUCCACCUCCUCCUCCCUAAGGUACUCAAAUUACCUCGAAGUAAGAGGCCCCGUCAAAAGUUAGAGAGCUGGUGGUAGCAACCACGACCUUAGUACCGGAACGGUCGUUCGUAGUUCUACGACCCGGAGUAGGGACCGGAAGACUACUAGUAGAAACACCGUGACGAGUGUCUCCGUAGGUAACUGUACGAAUAGUCCACGUCGGUGGUUCCUUUCUAGUGCAGUAUACCCACCGACUACCCACUCCGUAUACCUGUUACCCCCUCCUAACGCGACGUCCGGAGACACCAAUAUUUGUUGUAGCCGCACUACUAACAAAUGUACUAAUAGUAACCACUACAUAAUAGACCUUGCAGCAGUCCGCCAUAAGUAGUAGCACCGUAUAACCUCCCGACCAAACCUCGUGUAAACACCUUAAGAGCGCGGUAACAAGAAGAACACUGUUGAGAAAAGCACAAACGAGGUAACCACUCGAAAUUUGCUAACCUAAGUGACUCGAUGUGUAGACGGGAUAGUCAACGAGAGCGACACCAAAAACAACAAUAAUGACGACCCUAACGGUAUUAGUUUCAGUAGUUACCUUGACAUCGUUACGGGUUCGAAAAGGGUCUUUAUCUACUAGAAUCAAGACAGACCUUCGAAAAAUGCCGACAGGGACAGGAACAGUGACGUAUAUAGACGGUGAUAUUACAAGUGUCGUAACUGUUACUCGAACUCCUAUUUUGUGUUUGAUUUGGUUAACACGCUUGUAGUGACCGGGAAACGAGGUCACAAAUGUAACGGUGUUCAAAGAAACGAAUAGAAGAGAAACCUCUACCAUGUGACCUACUACACGAGCGGUUGAAGCUAAGUUUAGAACCGUAAGGAAAGUCGAGACAGAAGUUACUGCAUCAGUCUCACUCGAUACGACGCGUGCAGUACGAACAGAAGGGGUAGCAGAAGAAACGGGAAUCCGAGUUGAACCUACCCGAUGAGAAAGGGUGCAGCUCCGUGUAAAGAAUACUGUUAUUCUCUAAAUGUUAGUAUUGGUAGAGUGAGGAGCACCAAUAAAUAUGACGACGGUAGAAGUAUGGUUCGUAAACCCUACGUAAGGUCAAAUGACCACGGUGUCGACGGCAAAACUAACCAAAAUAGAAAGGACGGUACCAGUAUAAUUCCCUAGGAAUACCUUAGCGUUGGUUCGCACUGUUCUAUAACCGACAUUGGUACUAGCACGAACGACAACAGAGUUUGAGACAACGGGAUAUGUCACUACGCUACUUGUAGAAGGCAUCCUUUCUCCAUCGGACUUUAAGUCCGAAGUUUCAAGUUUCCUUCCCACAGUGACUACGUCCUUCGCGUCAAAGUAUAAUGUUUUAAGUCACCGAAACUUCCUUCUACCAAACGACCCUACGACACUUCUUUCUACUAAAGAAACCAGUCGUUGAGUCGUAACUCUGGACUGUGUACCUUCUUAACCUACCAACUUUAACAGUCCAGAACACAUGUACUCGACCGAGUUGCAGCUUAACUCGGUGAACGUUAUAUACAUACAAGAAAACAACCGCGCUUAUAUAUACACGGGUGGGGUCUGUCUUUUCUUUCGUAACGACGUUUUUCGAACGAGAUGUUAUUACAUGUCACAAGGAUCAUAAAUUCACUCAAUUUAUACAAAAUAAACUUGGAUUUGAACUCCAAGGCUUAUUUUUAUUUCACCGGUAACAAUGGUAGGAAGUGAAGACUUUGUUCGACAUCUAAGCUAUGUACGAUGUUGUUGCGUUAAAAAACGUACUUGACAACUUGAUACAAGGUGAUCAGAGGUCUACUACCAUGGGCAGAUGUAGGAUCAGCAUGUCUUUUUUUUUACGUGAUUUCUAGUUUACAUCGUAGUAACAGAAACUACAAAAAUCAUACCC